rnacentral:rRNA from 1 species
AGCGAACGCUGGCGGCAGGCUUAACACAUGCAAGUCGAGCGGGCGUAGCAAUACGUCAGCGGCAGACGGGUGAGUAACGCGUGGGAACGUACCUUUUGGUUCGGAACAACUGAGGGAAACUUCAGCUAAUACCGGAUAAGCCCUUACGGGGAAAGAUUUAUCGCCGAAAGAUCGGCCCGCGUCUGAUUAGCUAGUUGGUGAGGUAACGGCUCACCAAGGCGACGAUCAGUAGCUGGUCUGAGAGGAUGAUCAGCCACAUUGGGACUGAGACACGGCCCAAACUCCUACGGGAGGCAGCAGUGGGGAAUAUUGGACAAUGGGCGAAAGCCUGAUCCAGCCAUGCCGCGUGAGUGAUGAAGGCCCUAGGGUUGUAAAGCUCUUUUACCCGAGAUGAUAAUGACAGUAUCGGGAGAAUAAGCUCCGGCUAACUCCGUGCCAGCAGCCGCGGUAAU